UAUAUUUUAAAGGUAAUACCUGCUCAAUGAAUAUUAAAUUGCCGCAGUAUUAUGACUGUGCUAAGGUAGCAUAAUAAUUUGUCUUUUAAAUGGGGACUGGAAUGAAAGGUUUUAUGGGGGUAUGUUAAUGAUUUAAUGAAUUAUUGAAGUUAAGGUUUAAGUUAAAAUUCUUAAAAUUAUUUGAGGGACGAGAAGACCCUGUGGAUCUUUAUUUUACGUAUAAUAAAUUAUUAUAAAUGUUUUAUUAUUUUAAAAAUUUGAUUGGGACGAUUAUUAUUUUAACAUGAUUUUGAGGGUUUAUGUUGAUCCUAUAAAAGGAAUUAAGAUUAAGUUACCCCAGGGAUAACAGCGUUAUAUUAUUGGAUAGUUCAUAUUGAUAAUAAUGUUUGCGACCUCGAUGUUGAAUUAAAAUUUCUUUUUAAAGUAGAAGUUAAAUUAAUAAGUCUGUU
rnacentral:rRNA from 1 species